GUCCUCGAUGGCUCAGUUGGGUAGAGCAUCUGCCAUGUAAGGAGGAGGUCCUGGGUUCGAGUCCCAGUCAGGGCA